GCCAGACUCCUACGGGAGGCAGCAGUGGGGAAUAUUGCACAAUGGGGGAAACCCUGAUGCAGCGACGCCGCGUGAGCGAUGAAGUAUUUCGGUAUGUAAAGCUCUAUCAGCAGGGAAGAAGAUGACGGUACCUGACUAAGAAGCCCCGGCUAACUACGUGCCAGCAGCCGCGGUAAUACGUAGGGGGCAAGCGUUAUCCGGAUUUACUGGGUGUAAAGGGAGCGUAGACGGCGGCGCAAGCCAGAUGUGAAAGCCCGGGGCUCAACUCCGGGACUGCUCUUGGAACUGCGCGGCUGGAGUGCAGGAGGGGCAGGCGGAAUUCCUGGUGUAGCGGUGAAAUGCGUAGAUAUCAGGAGGAACACCGGUGGCGAAGGCGGCCUGCUGGACUGCGACUGACGUUGAGGCCCGAAAGCGUGGGGAGCAAACAGGAUUAGAUACCCCGGUA
rnacentral:rRNA from 1 species